rnacentral:rRNA from 1 species
AGCAGUCGCCGCGGGAAAACGAAGGGUGCAAGCGUUAAUCGGAAUUACUGGGUUUAAAGGGUGCGCAGGCGGGCAGGUAAGUCAGUGGUGAAAUCUUCGAGCUUAACUCGGAAACUGCCGUUGAUACUAUCUGUCUUGAAUAACGUUGAGGUGAGCGGAAUAUGUCAUGUAGCGGUGAAAUGCUUAGAUAUGACAUAGAACACCGAUUGCGAAGGCAGCUCACUAAACGCUCAUUGACGCUGAGGCACGAAAGCGUGGGGAUCAAACAGGAUUAGAUACCCGAGUAGUCCCUGUCUCUUAUAC